CAACCACACACAAUCCUCUCAUACUUAGCGAUGAAGCCCAUUCGUUUUCUUUCCAUGCGAUUUCAUCUGGGGUUCCUCGGACGUUGUUGCCCUCCCCUUCGGUGUGCUGCCUGCCUUGCUGUGGUUUCUGGGGUAUUGUGCCCUGCUUUGUAUGCUCGCCCGCUCUGGGUACGGCAUCAGCGCUCCGUUUAAAAGUUAAUUUGGCUUAUCAAACUCUUCGAGGUGGAGUAGUGAGGAAGUGGUGAAGAAUGUUAAUGUUUCUUUUGUUUCAAGGCUUCUGAAAUAAAGAUAUCAAAUGCCUAUCGGUUUCUAGUAGUCCGCCUAGUAAGUAAAUUAAAUGUAGUCAUUGGAAUGAGCCUUUAUGGCACUUUCAACAAUCUGUAAUUCAAUCAUCUCUGAUACAAGCUGCCUUUUGCUAUUAUUCAUCAGACCCAGCUGAGUGAUUUCUGUCAGAUGGGAAGUGGUAGAGAGAAAUCUCUAGGUAAAUGUAACUGAAAAGCUUUGCAAGUGGAGUCCUAAAUGAGCACAGAAAAGCACUUGGCCACAAUCUGGAGACAGAUGUUAGCAUCCAAAUAAAUCAUUUCUUCUGAUUGUCAGGGGGAUGUCAAGUCUCAUUUUCCUUAUUUAGUAGCCAUUUGCAAGUGAAGAACAGGGAGCUCCGUGUUUAUGACCUUGUAAACUCAAUGCAGAAUGCUGUAAUUCAAUAGUAUUUCACUCUGAAAUACUAUUUUCCGUACAAAGGUCAGUACAGUAAUUCUAGAUGCAUGUACGUGUUGUAGACCACAGCAAGGCUACUGGAUCAGCAACGGCAGUAUUGAUCCUUUGAGCGCUAUGUAAUGUGCCAUCCGUGUUCGGCGUUAAUCUAUUGCGUGCUGUUUGAACUGCUUUGUUGUCUGAGAGAGUUCUUUCGUCCUGAGAAACAGCAGACAAUAGUUGGAGAUGCAAGAGGAGACUCCUUUCCCUGGCGAUUCUUUAUUGAGCAUUUUUUAGGUAGUGAAUAUACCUCAGCUAGCAAAAAGCUGAAGAUUUGUGUGUUAGUGGUGAAGAGGUGAGAAUGAUAUCAUGUUCUCUGGCUUCUGACACUGUGUCCCGGCUCCAUGUCAUCACUGGCUGUGGAUGAUGGUGUCAGCCUUGCACAUCCUGUGCAAGUCGUAGUAUUUUAACUACUCAGAAUUUUUGGAACUCUUACUGUUUGAAUUGUGAACCUUUAAAUGAAAAAUAUGUGUCCUAAAAACACAUGAUAGAAAUUAAUAGUAAAACAAGUAGUUGCCUCAUCAGUCCGGUGGCCUGUGUUACACCUGGGUACUUACAACAGCAUACAGCACAAGGACAGGUUUUUCUCGGCCUACUGAAGAGAUGGACAAGAAGUGGAAGUAUGUGGGUAAUAAAGACAAAGACUGUUUAGAA
rnacentral:lncRNA from 1 species